UACGUAGGGUGCGAGCGUUAAUCGGAAUUACUGGGCGUAAAGCGUGCGCAGGCGGUUCUCCAAGUCCGUUGUGAAAGCCCCGGGCUCAACCUGGGAGUGGCAGUGGAAACUAGGGGACUUGAAUCUGGCAGAGGGGGGUGGAAUUCCACGGUGUAGCAGUGAAAUGCGUAGAGAUGUGGAGGAACACCGAUGGCGAAGGCAGCCCCCUGGGCUGAGAUUGACGCUCAGGCACGAAAGCGUGGGGAGCAAACAGG
rnacentral:rRNA from 1 species